rnacentral:rRNA from 1 species
AUGUCUCAGUACAAGCCANAUUAAGGUGAAACCGCGNAAGGCUCAUUAAAUCAGUUAUGGUUCCUUAGAUCGUACCCACAUUUACUUGGAUAACUGUGGUAAUUCUAGAGCUAAUACAUGCAAACAGAGCUCCGACCGGAGACGGAAGGAGCGCUUUUAUUAGAUCAAAACCAAUCGGUGUCGGGUUCGCCCGUCAUCGUAUAACUUGGUGACUCUGAAUAACUUUAAGCUGAUCGCACGGUCCAGCACCGGCGACGCAUCUUUCAAAUGUCUGCCUUAUCAACUGUCGAUGGUAGGUUCUGCGCCUACCAUGGUCGUAACGGGUAACGGGGAAUCAGGGUUCGAUUCCGGAGAGGGAGCCUGAGAAACGGCUACCACAUCCAAGGAAGGCAGCAGGCGCGCAAAUUACCCACUCCCGGCACGGGGAGGUAGUGACGAAAAAUAACGAUACGGGACUCAUCCGAGGCCCCGUAAUCGGAAUGAGUACACUCUAAACCCUUUAACGAGGAUCAAUUGGAGGGCAAGUCUGGUGCCAGCAGCCGCGGUAAUUCCAGCUCCAAUAGCGUAUAUUAAAGUUGUUGCGGUUAAAAAGCUCGUAGUCGAAUUUGUGUCCCGCGCCGCCGGUUCACCGCCCGCGGUGUCAACUGGCGUGUCGCGGGACGUCCUGCCGGUGGGCUUAGCUCCUUUGGGGNGGCCCAACUCAAUCCCGCCGCGGUGCUCUUCAUUGAGUGUCGAGGUGGGCCGGCACGUUUACUUUGAACAAAUUAGAGUGCUUA